AGUGAACGCUGGCGGUAGGCCUAACACAUGCAAGUCGAACGGCAGCACAGUAAGAGCUUGCUCUUACGGGUGGCGAGUGGCGGACGGGUGAGGAAUACAUCGGAAUCUACUUUUUCGUGGGGGAUAACGGCGGGAAACUUACGCUAAUACCCCAUACGACCUACGGGUGAAAGCAGGGGAUCUUCGGACCUUGCGCGAUUGAAUGAGCCGAUGUCGGAUUAGCUAGUUGGCGGGGUAAAGGCCCACCAAGGCGACGAUCCGUAGCUGGUCUGAGAGGAUGAUCAGCCACACUGGAACUGAGACACGGUCCAGACUCCUACGGGAGGCAGCAGUGGGGAAUAUUGGACAAAGGGCGCAAGCCUGAUCCAGCCAUACCGCGUGGGUGAAGAAGGCCUUCGGGUUGUAAAGCCCUUUUGUUGGGAAAGAAAAGCAGCAGGUUAAUACCCCGCUGUUCUGACGGUACCCAAAGAAUAAGCACCGGCUAACUUCGUG
rnacentral:rRNA from 1 species